AUGAACCCUGGCGGCGUGCCUAAUACCUACAAGUCGAGCGAACAGACGAGGAGCUUGCUCCUCUGACGUUAGCGGCGGCCGGGUGAGUAACACGUGGAUAACCUACCUAUAAGACUGGGAUAACUUCGGGAAACCGGAGCUAAUACCGGAUAAUAUAUUGAACCGCAUGGUUCAAUAGUGAAAGACGGUUUUGCUGUCACUUAUAGAUGGAUCCGCGCCGCAUUAGCUAGUUGGUAAGGUAACGGCUUACCAAGGCAACGAUGCGUAGCCGACCUGAGAGGGUGAUCGGCCACACUGGAACUUAGACACGGUCCAGACUCCUACGGGAGGCAGCAGUAGGGAAUCUUCCGCAAUGGGCGAAAGCUUGACGGAGCAACGCCGCGUGAGUGAUGAAGGUCUUCGGAUCGUAAAACUCUGUUAUUAGUGAAGAACAAAUGUGUAAGUAACUAUGCACGUCUUGACGGUACCUAAUCAGAAAGCCACGGCUAACUACGUG
rnacentral:rRNA from 1 species